UGACUGUGGUGUCAUCUGCAAACUUCAGGAGUUUGACAGCUGGAUACGUUGAGGUGCAAUGGUUUGUGUUGA